rnacentral:sRNA from 1 species
GCUGUUGCUGCUGCUGCUGCUGCUGCGGACGCUGCUGCUGCUGCUGUGGCGGACGCUGCUGCUGUUGCUGCUGCUGGAAGUGCGACUGCUGCAGCUGC